rnacentral:rRNA from 1 species
UACAGAGGUGGCAAGCGUUGUUCGGAAUUACUGGGCGUAAAGGGCGCGUAGGCGGUCUUGUCAGUCCCUUGUGAAAUCCCCCGGCUCAACUGGGGAACUGCACGGGAAACAGCAGGGCUUGAGUUCGGGAGAGGGAAGCGGAAUUCCGGGUGUAGCGGUGAAAUGCGUAGAUAUCAGGAGGAACACCGGUGGCGAAGGCGGCCCCCUGGACCGGUACUGACGCUGAGGCGCGAAAGCGUGGGUAGCAAACGGG